rnacentral:rRNA from 1 species
GAUGAACGCUAGCGGCAGGCUUAAUACAUGCAAGUCGAGGGGCAGCAUGGGUAGCAAUACCUGAUGGCGACCGGCAAACGGGUGCGGAACACGUACGCAACCUUCCCAUAACUGGUGAAUAGCCCUCCGAAAGGAGGAUUAAUACACCGUAACAUAAUGAAGUGGCAUCACUUUAUUAUUAUAGCUCCGGCGGUUUUGGAUGGGCGUGCGCCUGAUUAGGUAGUUGGCGGGGUAACGGCCCACCAAGCCUGCGAUCAGUAAUUGGUGUGAGAGCACGACCAGUCACACGGGCACUGAGACACGGGCCCGACUCUACGGAGCAGCAGUAGGAUAUGUCAAUGGACGCAAGUCUGAACCAGCCAUGCCGCGUGAAGGAUGAAAGCCCUCUGGGUUGUAAACUUUCUUUUAUAUGGGACGAAAAAGGUAUUUUUCUAAUCAACUGACGGUACAUGUGAAUAAGCACCGGCUAACUCCGUGCCAGCAGCCGCCGCGGUAA